AAAAUACAACAUUUGUGCAAGUGCACGACGAUUACCGAAAAGAACUACGACCAUUACUGCAGAUUAGAAAUGACAUUUGUCAUUAAAUUGUGUCUUCAUUAUCAUUCAAAGAGCUUUGGCAUAUAUGAGAAUCACUUCUUUUACAUAUUACAUGUUAAUGUGAUGGCUGUAUGUCUGUGUACAAGAGAGUCUGUGAAAAUGAUGAGGGCCAACAGAGUUGAUGAUGGUCAUAUCCUUAAUAUCAACAGCUUAUCAGGACAUUGUUGUGGUAAAGCACACUUUUAUUCAGCUACUAAACAUUGCAGUGACUGCAUUAACUGAAGGCAUUAGAUGGGAACUAAGAGAAAUAAACAGUCAUAUCAAAAUAACAAGUAUCAGUCCAGGCUAAGUGAAGACUAAUUUUGCCUAUACUGCAGUUGGAGAAGCUGCAGCUGACGAAUGUUACAAUACAAGACAAAGUCUGGAUCCUCAGGACAUAGCCAAUGCCAUAGAAACAGUUUUAUCUUACCCAUCACAUGUCCAGUCUAGAACCUGGUCUAUCACAUACAGUUGGUUCAGCAAGGGAUGCUGGUAGUAUAGACAAAACAGAUAUUAAUGACACAGUUAUUCCAGAGGAUGAAUACCUUACUUACUGAAUGAUAGUAAUGUUAUAGCAACCAAGAUACUUGGAGCGGGUCCACCAGUUAUAGCUCUCAUCACCUGCACAUACCACUGAGUGCUGUUUACACAUGGAGCAGUCACCAUCAUAACACCUGAUUUUCACCUGCAGAGCCUUGGCUCAUAGGAUGAUACCAGUAGCUGGGAACGAGUCUUUAUGCCAUCAUUGUGUACAGCUGAAGUAGAAGUGAUUGUAGGUUCAUCUUUAAUGUCCUUCUGUUCAACAUUCAUUUCAACAACAGGAGCAUUAUUGAUAUCUUGGUCUGGUGUAGUGGACAACUCUAGUACAGGGACAGGAAUAGGAACAUUCCAUGGAAUUCUGCCAUUCUGGAAUCUACCAACAGGUGCAACUCUCCUUCUCUGCAGCCGUCCAGCUAAGCCUUUGUUGAAUGGCCAGUAACCUUUUGGAUACAUGUUGAGACAAAUAUUUUGGUGGUGCAGUGUAAAGCAUCAAUAGAAACUUGGAUGACAGACCUUAGAAGUGUUAAUUUUUAUAUUUUUUGUCAUUAUGUAACUUUUGAUUCAGAUUUUUAAUUGUCUAAGUGAUGCUGUCAAUCAAUUCUGUAGAUUCUUUUGAUCUAUUUUUAGCUGCAGAUUAAAGAAAUGACCAACUCUGGCUUCAAAGGGUUUGGUCCAGUUCAAACAAAAUUCCUUAUUUUGGCCUUUUAUUUGUGAAAUGAAAAUUCUUUUCCUAUUCAGAUUUUACAAACGUUAAUUUUCUAAAUUUUAGAAAGUUGUUUUGCCAUUGAAAAGUGAUUGGUUUCUGUUCUGUAACUUAAGUUUGCCUCAACCAAAUAUUAUCAAACUUAUACACAAUGCUUAUUACCACAAAACACACAUCAAGUUUGAAUUUUGGUGGCAUCACUUUAAACGUUCUAGAGUUAUGCCCCGUUAUAAAUGGAAAAAUUGCUAAAUUUUUCAUUUCCGUUCUCUAACUUAAGUUUGCCUAACCAAAUGUUAUUAAACUUAUACACAAUGCUUAUUACCACAAUACACAGAUCAAGUUUGAAUUUUGGUGGCGUCACUUUUACUGUUCUAGAGUUAUACCCUUUACAAAUGGAAAAAUUGCUAAACAAAUUUUUCAUUUUUUUUCUAAAAAUAUCAAUGAUGUCAUUGUUCAAGUAAUUUUUAAAAUUGGAGUUAUUUUCCUUUGUCCAUGAUUAUAGUUGAAUCAACUACAAUCAAUGCUUUAUACAAUGCAUUGUUUAAUUUUGCCUUCCACUGAUAAAACACAGAUCAAGUUGAAUUUGGGUUGUGUCACUUUAAACCAUUAUUGAGUUAUGCCCCUUUAUAAAUCGAAAAUUGCAAAAUUUUUAGUUUCCGUUCUGUAACUUAAGUUUGCCCCAACCAAAUAUGAAACCUAUACACAAUACUUAUUACCACAAAACUAAGAUCAAGUACAAAUUUGGGUAGCGUUUUUUUAUUGUUCUUGAGUUAUGUCCCUUUAUAAUGUUGUAUGCAAGCGGGGGCAUCAUCUGUAUCCAUGGGGACACAUUCUCCAUUUAUUUGGUUCUAUUUUUGUUUUGUUUUGAAAAAAAAAAUUUAAUUCUAAAAUCCUGUUGAAUUUGUUACUUUUUUUAAUUGAAAUGAAUUUUUUGGCAUCUUAACCUUUCCAAAACACUCUAUUUCAUCUCAAAAUUGCAAAAAAAAAGGAUUUUACAGCAUUUUAAAGUUUGUAUGACAUCUUGAUUUUGCCUUGGGCAGAUGAUGUAAAGGGGGUGUUGAAUAUACAGGUAAAUAAUCCAAAAAUUUAUUCAAGACCCCCAUAAAGUUAGGUUUUGUGUAUUAGAGUAUGACUAUAGAAUUUUUUAAUGCACUUCAUAAAACUUGCACUAAUAAAAAAGUUACGAGCAUUUGAAUAAAGAAGGUAUUUUGAGGAAAUCGAAAGUUCCAUACCAGAAAAAUGAUAAAAUUUGGGUGUGAAGGUAGGGGUGCAAGAAAUGCAUUUGCUGAUCUAUGCAUUGUCUGAUUGGUCUGAAAUUUGUUAUGUAGUCUUGAUAUAUAUUAAAGUUAAUAUAUGUAAAAUUUUAUUUCAUUUGGACUACUGGAAGGGUCCUAUUAGGUCCUCGGUUAUCUACCUUCAAUUUUCGUUGUCCACAAAUGUACAAGUAGUUCCCUUUAAUUUCAGUAUUUUUUUUCUUAUUUUUUUUCUUUGUCUUUUUUUGGAAUUUUUCAUUAUUUGUUUGUAUUAAGGUGAAAGAUAAGACUUCAAAUAUACUGUCUGAAAAAAAUCUUUUUGAAAUUUUCUGUAGAACUGAGUGAUUUGGUCAGGUAAAUAAAGGUGUAAUUUCCUCUUCUCGGAAGCUCUCUGGCUUCAUCCUUACCGGUGUCCUUAUGUUGGGGUUACCAGGAGAGAAUGAGCUGGUAGACUUUUCUGAAUUUUUGAUAUGUUUUGGGAAAAAAGUCAAACUUUAUGCACAAAUCUUAUUAGAAUAGAGCAGGUAGAAUUUUUUUUAAUAGCCAUUAUGUUUUAAUAGACAAAAAGGGGAAAAUAACUGUGUUCUCGGGCCAAUUGUAGUAAAAGUUAAGUUUGGCACUUCUUCCUUUAAAUAUCAGGAAACAAGGACUUUUACCUUCUUUGUUAUUUGAUGAAAUUAUAGUGAGCAAUGUUAAUAAUUUAUUACACCCAAAAUUCAAGUCUUUAUCAAUUUAUUGCUUGCAUUAAAUCUAUUUCCCUUGUAUGACUAAUCUCUGUGUCCUUUCCUUAAUUAUUCUUUGUCUAAUAGACCUAACUGAAUUGUUGUUAAUGAGUCUCCAUGUCCUUUCGUUGAGUAAUUUUUAUCUAUACGACCUUCGCUUAUUGUUUGUAGAGUCUCUCCAUGUCCCUUCCUCAAGUAAUUUUUUUUCUAAAAAACCUUAUUUUAUUAUUUUGUAUGAGUCUAUCCCUGUGCCAUCAUUGAGCAAUUUUUUCUAAAAGACAUUACCUAAUUGUUUUGUACGAGUCUCUCCAUGUCCCUUCAUUGAGUUUUUUUUUUGAUAAAAGACGCACCUUUUUUUCAAAGAGAUAUUUCACAAAAUGUAAACUGUACAUUAUUUGUAAAUAUUUGAUUAAAGAAACAUGAGUAGGGUUCAAGAUUCCAAAAGAAAAUGAUUCCCAUCUCAAUAAUCUAUAUAAAAUAAUAGAUCUUGGCACCUUAUAUUCCUCAACAAAUGGUAUGCUAACAAAUGAUAUACAAUCAAACUUUGAAUGUAUAUACAUUGUAAUAUAUUUCCAUAAAAUAUUAAAAAUAUAUCAUAUUCUUAUUUCCUUGUACAUCUACCUUCAGUUUAUUUUGUCACUGCAAUUAUCAUGUGAAACAUAAUGUCAGUUUGUAAUUGUUGUACAUGAUUCUUUGAUUGUAAUAACAACAAGCAUUUGACUUUACAUGUAAAAAAUAAAAUAUUUUAGUCUUUAUUUACCUCACCAGAAAAUGAUUGUAUCACAUUUUCUCAUUAGUUUUCAACAAUGCAUUUCAGAUAUGUGUAAUUAAUCGGCCCUUUAACAGUGCGCAGUUUUCAUCGCAUGUUUCUAAUGACGAGCGCAUAAAAACAAAAAUUGGAAUGAAAUAUAUUUUUGAUAAAUGUGGACAACUUGAACCAAAAAUUUUAUAAUUAUUAUUCUAACUGUGUUUAGAUUAGAAUUUGUUAUAGUCUGCAACUAGCCAUUUUUGAUAGGUCAUUUAAUAAUUCUUUCAGUGAAAGAGAAAUGUGCAUUGACUGUGAAUUUUUUUUUUUAUUAUAAGUGUUCAUGUUAUAAUAAUUGUAUGUAAAUAUGAUAUUGAAAUAACUGUGAUAAUAACUGUGAUAUUGACUUGUAUUGUAUAUUGAAUAACUAAAAAAAAAAACACCAUA